ACUAAGUUUCUCUAACAUCUGGUGUUGGAUAGUAAAAAAGAGAAGUAUUUCAUUAAACAGGUUUGAGCAAGCAAGAAAUAACAUCCUGAAAGGUAGAUGGCUGAUUUCUUACACAUCUCCAUCAUAAAAUGGUCAGAAUCCACUCCGCUCUUUCUACCAGGAAAGGAGAGUCAAAAUGGUGAACCACCACCCUUCCCUAGCUGUAAUAAAGCAGGCGACUCCACGACGUUAGUCUAUUUUUCCAUUCACCAUUAAAUAUCUCCGAGUCUGAGGGGAAAGGGCUAACGAUGCUGCUGAACAGAUUUUCCUGCUGUGGAGGGCAGUGAGCAUCAGAAUGAGAAUGUC